UCACUUUCUGUCUGCCAUUCUCUCUCAGCUAAUACUUCUUUGUAAAACUACUAUUCUGAUCUUCCUUUUAUUUCUAAAUAUAGACCUUUAAGUUUCAUCUGUUAUCAUUCUUCAAACAUCUGAAGAAAUAACUACUUUUCUAGGUUAGGCUGCUGCAACAUUUUCUUGAGAGCUUAACAAGUUCAAAAACAAAGUCAAACC
rnacentral:lncRNA from 1 species